rnacentral:tRNA from 1 species
UGGGGUUUAGCUCAGUGGUAAAGUGCAUGCUUAGCAUGCAUGAGGUCCUGGGUUCAAUCCCCAGUACCUCCC